GCAGCAUGAACUUAGCUUGCUAAGUUUGAUGGCGACCGGCGCACGGGUGAGUAACACGUAUCCAACCUGCCGAUGACUCGGGGAUAGCCUUUCGAAAGAAAGAUUAAUACCCGAUGGCAUAGUUCUUCCGCAUGGUAGAACUAUUAAAGAAUUUCGGUCAUCGAUGGGGAUGCGUUCCAUUAGGUUGUUGGCGGGGUAACGGCCCACCAAGCCUUCGAUGGAUAGGGGUUCUGAGAGGAAGGUCCCCCACAUUGGAACUGAGACACGGUCCAAACUCCUACGGGAGGCAGCAGUGAGGAAUAUUGGUCAAUGGACGAGAGUCUGAACCAGCCAAGUAGCGUGAAGGAUGACUGCCCUAUGGGUUGUAAACUUCUUUUAUACGGGAAUAAAGUGAGGCACGUGUGCCUUUUUGUAUGUACCGUAUGAAUAAGGAUCGGCUAACUCCGUGCCAGCAGCCGCGGUAAUACGGAGGAUCCGAGCGUUAUCCGGAUUUAUUGGGUUUAAAGGGAGCGUAGGCGGACGCUUAAGUCAGUUGUGAAAGUUUGCGGCUCAACCGUAAAAUUGCAGUUGAUACUGGGUGUCUUGAGUACAGUAGAGGCAGGCGGAAUUCGUGGUGUAGCGGUGAAAUGCUUAGAUAUCACGAAGAACUCCGAUUGCGAAGGCAGCUUGCUGGACUGUAACUGACGCUGAUGCUCGAAAGUGUGGGUAUCAAACAGGAUUAGAUACCCUGGUAGUCCACACAGUAAACGAUGAAUACUCGCUGUUUGCGAUAUACAGUAAGCGGCCAAGCGAAAGCGUUAAGUAUUCCACCUGGGGAGUACGCCGGCAACGGUGAAACUCAAAGGAAUUGACGGGGGCCCGCACAAGCGGAGGAACAUGUGGUUUAAUUCGAUGAUACGCGAGGAACCUU
rnacentral:rRNA from 1 species